UACAGAGGAGCCAAGCGUUGUCCGGAUUGACUGGGCGUAAAGCGCACGCAGGCGGUCUGGCGCGUGGGGUGUGAAAUCUGGCCGCUUAACGGCCAGGCGCCAUCCCAUACGGCCGGACUGGAGCCUUGCAGAGGUCGGUGGAAUUGCCGGUGUAGUGGUGAAAUGCGUAGAUAUCGGGAGGAACACCAGUGGCGAAGGCGGCUACCUGGCCCACUCUUGACGCUGAGGCGCGAAAGCUAGGGGAGCAAACGGG
rnacentral:rRNA from 1 species